GGUUCCUUGCGAUCUGGAUCUGGCCCUCAGCCUGCCCUUCCUUGAUCGGCAAAUCGCAGGUGAUCUGGAUUGUUUCCCCUCACAUGUUCUGGAGUGUUUUUGUUUUUAUGUAGAGAUCUUGGUGAAGGCCUUUUUCACGAUCCAAGCGGUUUUUCGCGGUGUGGUUCUUCGGUGCUUUGCGGAUUAAAAGAUGGUUAUGGCUUCCGAUCAGUUUCUUGCGGCUGUUCCACCUAUUUGGUUCGUUCUGUUCUUGCUGCCGAGGAAGCACUGCAGGCGCGGAAGCAGUUCUACGGCUCGAAGUUCGGAUCGACGGGCGUUUUCGAUGCACAAACUCCAGUUGCCAGGAAAAUAGACGUUGUUUGCCUGAAUGAUUAAGUUCUUGCUCAGAACUUAUCAGUUGUAAAGGAGUGGAUGCCUCUUGGGGAUCAGAACAAGACGGAUGGGCUAGGUUCUUGAUGAUAGACUGGGAAGGUAAUAUGCAUUUGAACAUGUUGCGUCGACCUUUGCCAUGUUGGGUGCGCUCGCAUGGAAGGUCACCCCUGCUUAAUAAAAAGUAAUAUUUUUUGGGUGCUGGCGGGGAGAUCGCACGGGGCAUUUGUUUUUAUUCCCCGGGUUCUCCAUCGCCUGUGUGUGUGUGUCUGCCUCUACCUCUUUGAAUUUCAUUGUCCCUAUCGUCCCAUCUCGCUAUCAGUUAAAUGCGGUUUCAUGGCGAUAUCAGCAAUAUUCCGAUUCAACCACUGCAUAUUCAAUUGUCUUCAACCGAUGCAUAUUCAAUUGUCCAUCGCCUAUGCAUCCAUUCCAAGUGGUGAAAUCAUGGGGUCCCCAGCAAUUUGAACCGCUCUAUAGAAGUUUGUCAAUUGUGUUCAAUAUUAAAGAUGCUGCUGCCAAAGAUUGUCUGUAGUUCUGUCAAUUGCUGUCUAGUGCUGUCAAUUGAACUCUGAGGCGCAUGUAAAAUAUCUGGAAAAGACUUGGAGGUCAUCUCACCUUGCAUUUUGGUGGAAUCAAUUCUCGGCUUGGAUUUGUUGGUACCUGAAGCUUACAAUUUUGUUGCCACAUCUGACCGAAAUUGAGAUACAUUCAUGGAGCAAAAAUUGGGGCGUAUUAUAACUAUUGUUUUGAGCACUCUUAUUUGAUGUCAAGUUCUGAAGACUCCUGUAAGAACAAAUUUGAAUUUGUAAGCCUGCUUUUGGACUCAGUUCUUGAUUCCUAUUUGGCAGAAUUCAAAUUCAUCAGACGCUUACAAGUUUUUGUGAUUGCAACUUUAACUAUAUCAUUACCCGAUGACUUCGGAAACCA